UUCGUCGAGGGGCGCUGCGACGGCACGCACGGGCGUUCCUGCCAGGCUCGCUGAGGUGGAUUAAUAACGUGCAACCGCGCCCGUUCAUC
rnacentral:ncRNA from 1 species